rnacentral:lncRNA from 1 species
AAGAGCAGAGAACAAAGCUGGAUGAUAAAUCUGUUCCCUGCAUAUUUAUCGGAUAUGGAGAUGAAGAGUUCGGGUACAGACUGUGGGAUCCUGUAAAGAAGAAGGUCAUCAGAAGUAGAGAUGUAGUCUUCCGAGAAAGUGAAGUUGGAACUGCUGCUGAUAUGUCAGAAAAGGCGAAGAAUGGUAUAAUUCCUAACUUUGUUACUAUUCCUUCUACUUCUAACAAUCCCACAAGUACAGAAAGUACGACCGACGAGGUUGCCGAGUAGGGGGAGCAACCUGGUGAGGUUAUUGAGCAGGGGGAGCAACUUGAUGAAGGUGUCGAGGAAGUGGAGCACCCCACUCAGCGAGAAGAACAACCUCAACCUCUGAGGAGACCAGAGAGGCCAAGGGUAGAGUCAUGCAGGUACCCUUCCACAGAGUAUGUCCUCAUCAGUAAUGAGGGGGAGCCAGAAAGUCUUAAGGAGGUGUUGUCCCAUCCAGAAAAGAACCAGUGGAUGAAAGCUAUGCAAGAAGAGAUGGAAUCUC